AUUGAACGCUGGCUGCAGGCUUAACACAUGCAAGUCGACCGAGUGGCGGACGGGUGAGUAAUGCUUGGGAAUCUGGCUUAUGGAGGGGGAUAACUACGGGAAACUGUAGCUAAUACCGCGUACCAUAGGAGGAGCCCAGGUGGGAUUAGGUAGUUGGUGAGGUAAAGGCUCACCAAGACGACGAGCUCUAGCUGGGCUGAGAGGAUGACCAGCCACACUGGGACUGAGACACGGCCCAGACUCCGACGGGAGGCAGCAGUGGGGAAUAUUGCGCAAUGGGGGCAACCUGACGCAGCCAUGCCGCGUUAAUGAAGAAGGCCUGCGGGUUGUAAAGUUCUUUCGGUAGCGAGGCGUUAACUACAGAAGAAGCACCGGCUAACUCCGUGCCAGCAGCCGCGGUAAUUC
rnacentral:rRNA from 1 species